rnacentral:lncRNA from 1 species
GACGGGGUCGUAUUGCCUACAGCGAAGAGCCAUCCGAGCGGCCGACUUGAGCUGAUCCACCAUCGCUGGCACCUCGCAUCUACGCCUGGCUCUUGUNGUCGUCUUUGGAGGGAGAAGCAANGGAGAACAUACUGCGACUGGAUCCCAUCACCCUUGGAAGAUCUUCUCGUCCUGUGGGCCUUCGGAUCUUCANGAUUUUUCUGGGAAUCUCCACCUUGGACACUUCGAGGGACAGACGGGGGAUGAGGAACGACCACAUGAUUGAUGCCACCAUUUUGUUAACGAAGUCAUCAGAGGAAGUUUUGCUGGCCUUCAGUCUGACGGACCCGGUACUCCUUCCUGACAUCAAACAGAGCUGGUAAGGAGGGAAA